rnacentral:rRNA from 1 species
CCUACGGGACGCAGCAGUGAGGAAUAUUGGUCAAUGGACGCAAGUCUGAACCAGCCAUGCCGCGUGCAGGAUGACGGCUCUAUGAAUUGUAAACUGCUUUUGUACGAGGGCAAACCCCGAUACGUGUCUCGGGUUGAAAGUAUCGUACGAAUAAGGAUCGGCUAACUCCGUGCCAGCAGCCGCGGUAAUACGGAGGAUCCGAGCGUUAUCCGGAUUUAUUGGGUUUAAAGGGUGCGCAGGCGGUUUGUUAAGUUAGCGGUGAAAUCUCGGGGCUCAACCCCGGCAC